rnacentral:rRNA from 1 species
GCGAGUGAAGCGACAAAAGCUCAAAUUUGAAAUCUGGCACCUUCGGUGUCCGAGUUGUAAUUUGAAGAAGGUAACUUUGGAGUUGGCUCUUGUCUAUGUUCCUUGGAACAGGACGUCACAGAGGGUGAGAAUCCCGUGCGAUGAGAUGUCCAACUCUAUGUAAAGUGCUUUCGAAGAGUCGAGUUGUUUGGGAAUGCAGCUCUAAGUGGGUGGUAAAUUCCAUCUAAAGCUAAAUAUUGGCGAGAGACCGAUAGCGAACAAGUACAGUGAUGGAAAGAUGAAAAGAACUUUGAAAAGAGAGUGAAAAAGUACGUGAAAUUGUUGAAAGGGAAGGGUUUGAGAUCAGACUUGGUAUUUUGUAUGUCUUGCUUUCGGGUGGGGCCUCUGCAGUUUACUGGGCCAGCAUCGGUUUGGACGGUAGGAUAAUGACAUUGGAAUGUGGCACUACUUCGGUGGUGUGUUAUAGACUUUGUUGAUACUACCUGUCUAGACCGAGGACUGCGUCUUUGACUAGGAUGCUGGCAUAAUGAUCCUAAACCGCCC